GACGAACGCUGGCGGCGUGCUUAACACAUGCAAGUCGAACGAUGAACCCGGAGCUUGCUCCGGCGGAUUAGUGGCGAACGGGUGAGUAACACGUGAGUAACCUGCCCUUGACUCUGGGAUAACUGCGGGAAACUGUAGCUAAUACCGGAUACGACCCUCGGCGGCAUCGCCAGGGGGUGGAAAGAAUUUCGGUCAAGGAUGGACUCGCGGCCUAUCAGCUAGUUGGUGAGGUAACGGCUCACCAAGGCGACUACGGGUAGCCGGCCUGAGAGGGUGACCGGCAACCCUGGGACUGAGACACGGCCCAGACUCCUACGGGAGGCAGCAGUGGGGAAUAUUGCACAAUGGGCGCAAGCCUGAUGCAGCAACGCCGCGUGAGGGAUGACGGCCUUCGGGUUGUAAACCUCUUUUAGUAGGGAAGAAGCGAAAGUGACGGUACCUGCAGAAAAAGCACCGGCUAACUACGUGCCAGCCGCCGCCGUAA
rnacentral:rRNA from 1 species